rnacentral:rRNA from 1 species
AAGCGUGCACGGUGGAUGCCUUGGCAGUCAGAGGCGAUGAAGGACGUGGUAAUCUGCGAUAAGCGUUGGUAAGCCGAUAAACAGGCCGUGACCCAGCGAUUUCCGAAUGGGGAAACCCACUCACAUAAGUGAGUAUCCUGUUACUGAAUACAUAGGUGACAGGAGGCGAACCCGGGGAACUGAAACAUCUAAGUACCCGGAGGAAAAGAAAUCAAUUGAGAUUCCCCUAGUAGCGGCGAGCGAACGGGGAUUAGCCCUUAAGCUUAUAAUGGUUUAGCGGAACGCUCUGGAAAGUGCGGCGAUAGAGGGUGAUAGCCCCGUACGCGAAAGGCCAUUUUAAGUGAAAUCGAGUAGGUCGGGACACGAGAAAUCUUGACUGAACCGUCUUCGGACAAGGGGGGACCAUCCUCCAAGGCUAAAUACUCCUGACUGACCGAUAGUGAACCAGUACCGUGAGGGAAAGGCGAAAAGAACCCCGUUGAGGGGAGUGAAAUAGAUCCUGAAACCGUGUACGUACAAGCAGUGGGAGCAGACUUGUUCUGUGACUGCGUACCUUUUGUAUAAUGGGUCAGCGACUUACAUUCUGUGGCAAGGUUAACCGUUUAGGGUAGCCGUAGGGAAACCGAGUCUUAAUAGGGCGUCCAUAGUCGCAGGAUGUAGACCCGAAACCGAGCGAUCUAGCCAUGAGCAGGUUGAAGAUCAGGUAACACUGAUUGGAGGACCGAACCCACCGUCUUUGAAAAGCCGGGGGAUGACUUGUGGCUAGGAGUGAAAGGCUAAUCAAGCUCGGAGAUAGCUGGUUCUCCUCGAAAGCUAUUUAGGUAGCGCCUCGUGUCUCACCAUUGGGGGUAGAGCACUGUUUGGGCUAGGGGGUCAUCCCGACUUACCAACCCCAUGCAAACUCCGAAUACCAAUGAGUGCAAUCACGGGAGACACACGGCGGGUGCUAACGUCCGUCGUGGAAAGGGAAACAACCCAGACCGUCAGCUAAGGUCCCAAAGUAACAGUUAAGUGGGAAACGAUGUGAGAAGGCCCAGACAGCCAGGAGGUUGGCUUAGAAGCAGCCAUUCCUUUAAAAAGUGCGUAACAGCUUACUGGUCAAGUGUCCUUGCGCCGAAAAUGUAACGGGGCUAGAGCAAAACACCGAAAUCACGGAUUGUGUGUGCAUUUAUUUUCAUGCAUGAUGGUAGAAGAGCGUUCACUAGAGCGUUGAAGAGAGAGACGUGAGUCCUCUUGGAGUUAAGUGAAGUGAGAAUGUAGGCAUGAGUAACGCAAAGGCAGGUGAGAAACCUGCCCGCCAAAAACCCAAGGAUUCCAGAGCAAGGAUAAUCCGCUCUGGGUUAGUCGGCCCCUAAGGCAAAGCCGAAAGGCGUAGUCGAUGGGAAAGGGAUUAAUAUUUCUCUACUAAUCAGAUUGUGCGAUGGACAGACGCGGAAGGUCCAGCCCUGCCAGGGAACGGUUGUCCUGGUCUAAGGUCAAAGGCGUGCUUUUUUUAAUAGAUGAAGCUUAGCUGAAGACCGAAUGCCAAGCAAUUGAAAGAAAGCUGAAGAGGGUUUCGCCAUGCCGCCAAGAAAUACGUUCUAAGUUUAGAUCUGAUUAACCGUACCGUAAACCGACUCAGGUAGGUGGGAUGAGUAUUCUAAGGCGAUCGAGAGAACUACAGCUAAGGAACUCGGCAAAUUCGCUCCGUAACUUCGGAAGAAGGAGCGCCAGUUUAGGAUGAAGAGCUUGCUUUUCGUUUUGAAUUGGCCGCAGUGAAAAGAUUCAGGCGACUGUUUAGCAAAAACACAGGACUCUGCUAACCCGCAAGGGGAUGUAUAGGGUCUGACACCUGCCCGGUGCCGGAAGGUUAAGAGGAGAUGUUAGCCUAGCUUGUCUAGGCGAAGCAUUGAAUUGAAGCCCCGGUAAACGGCGGCCGUAACUAUAACGGUCCUAAGGUAGCGAAAUUCCUUGUCGGGUAAGUUCCGACCUGCACGAAUGGUGUAACGAUCUGAAUGCUGUCUCAGUUGUAGACUCGGUGAAAUUAAACGACCAGUGAAAAUGCUGGUUACUUGCAGAAGGACGGAAAGACCCCGGAACCUUUACUGUAGCUUAAUCUUGGUUUUUUGUGAAGCAUGUGUAGCAUAGGUGGGAGAUUGUGAUCCUUAGUCGCUAGAUUAAGGGGAGUCACCAAGUGAAAUACCACCCUUGUUUUUUGGAAAAUCUAAUUUGCGCAAGCAAAGACAGGGUUUGGUGGGCAGUUUAACUGGGGUGGUUGCCUCCUAAAGAGUAACGGAGGCGUACAAAGGCCGGUUCAGCAUGUAUGGAAAGCAUGUGUAGAGCGUAAUGGCAAAAGCCGGCUUGACUGUGAGACCGACGGGUCGAUCAGGUGUGAAAGCAGGUCAUAGUGAUCCGGUGGUUCUGAGUGGAAGGGCCAUCGCUCAACGGCUAAAAGGUACUCCGGGGAUAACAGGCUUAUCUCCCCCAAGAGUUCAUAUCGACGGGGAGGUUUGGCACCUCGAUGUCGACUCAUCACAUCCUGGGGCUGUAGCAGGUCCCAAGGGUUUGGCUGUUCGCCAAUUAAAGCGGUACGUGAGCUGGGUUCAGAACGUCGUGAGACAGUUCGGUCCCUAUCUGCCGUGGACGUUGGAAGUUUGAGGAGAGCUGCUCCUAGUACGAGAGGACCGGAGUGGACGAACCACUGGUGUUCGGGUUGUGUCGCCAGACGCAUUGCCCGGUAGCUACGUUCGGACGGGAUAACCGCUGAAAGCAUCUAAGCGGGAAGCCCCCUUCAAGAUGAGACUUCCCUGACUCCUAGAGAGUCCUGAAGAGCCGUCAAAGACUAUGACGUUGAUAGGCUGGGUGUGUAAGCGUUGUGAGGCGUUGAGCUAACCAGUACUAAUGACUCGUGCGGCUUGAC